UACGGAGGGUGCAAGCGUUAAUCGGAAUUACUGGGCGUAAAGCGUGCGCAGGCGGUUUGUUAAGUCCGUUUGUGAAAGCCCCGAGCUCAAACUUGGGGAAUUGCAGUGGAUACUGGGCAGGCUGGAGUACGGUAGAGGAAGGUGGAAUUCCCGGGUGUAGCAGUGAAAUGCGUAGAGAUGUGGGAGGAAUACCGAUGGCGAAGGCAGCCCCCUGGGCCCAAUACUGACGCUCAUGCACGAAAAGCGUGGGGGAGCAAACAGGG
rnacentral:rRNA from 1 species